rnacentral:rRNA from 1 species
GAACGGGUUGUAGCUGGCCUCAUACUGUGGCAUGUGCACGCCUGUCUUCAUCCACUCUUCAACCUCUGUGCACUUAUUGUAGGCUGGUGAAGGGUCGCAUAGUAAUGUGCGGCUUGAAGCCUGGUCUACGUUUUACUACAAACGCUUCAGUUAUAGAAUGUCUAUCUGCGUAUAACGCAUUUAAUAUACAACUUUCAGCAACGGAUCUCUUGGCUCUCGCAUCGAUGAAGAACGAGCGAAAUGCGAUAAGUAAUGUGAAUUGCAGAAUUCAGUGAAUCAUCGAAUCUUUGAACGCACCUUGCGCUCCCUGGUAUUCCGGGGAGCAUGCCUGUUUGAGUGUCAUGGAAUUCUCAACUUCUAAUACUUUUUUGUAUCAGAAGCUUGGAUUUGGAGGCUCGUGCUGGCUCUCUCGUUAGAGUCGGCUCCUCUUAAAUGAAUUAGCGUGAAUCACUAUGGAUCGCUUCGGUGUGAUAAUUAUCUGCGCCGUAGUCGUGAAGUAUUAAUAAAAGUUCUCGCUUCUAAUCGUCCUUCACGGGACAAUUAACCCUGACUUUUUGACCUCAAAUCAGGUAGAGA